CGGCCUUCUGGACAGUACUGACGCUGAGAUGCGAAAGCGUGGGGAGCAAACAGGAUUAGAUACCUGGUAGUCCACGCUGUAAACGAUGUCGAUUUGGAGUUUGUUGCCUAGAGUGAUGGGCUCCGAAGCUAACGCGAUAAAUCGACCGCUGGGGAGUACGGCCGCAAGGUUAAAACUCAAAUGAAUUGACGGGGGCCCGCACAAGCGGUGGAGCAUGUGGUUUAAUUCGAUGCAACGCGAAGAACCUUACCUGGUCUUGACAUCCAUAGAAUUCUGCAGAGAUGUGGGAGUGCCUUCGGGUACUAUGAGACAGGUGCUGCAUGGCUGUCGUCAGCUCGUGUUGUGAAAUGUUGGGUUAAGUCCCGCAACGAGCGCAACCCUUAUUCUUUGUUGCCAGCGAUUUGGUCGGGAACUCAAAGGAGACUGCCGUUGAUAAAGCGGAGGAAGGUGGGGACGACGUCAAGUCAUCAUGGCCCUUACGACCAGGGCUACACACGUGCUACAAUGGCGUAUACAAAGGGAAGCGAAGGUGCGAGCUGGAGCGGAUCUCAUAAAGUACGUCUAAGUUCGGAUUGGAGUCUGCAACUCGACUCCAUGAAGUCGGAAUCGCUAGUAAUCGUAGAUCAGAACGCUACGGUGAAUACGUUCCCGGGCCUUGUACACACCGCCCGUCACACCAUGGGAGUGGGUUGCACCAGAAGUAGAUAGCUUAACCGCGAGGGGGGCGUUUACCACGGUGUGAUUCAUGACUGGGGUGAAGUCGUAACAAGGUAACCA
rnacentral:rRNA from 1 species